rnacentral:rRNA from 1 species
GACGAACGCUGGCGGCGUGCCUAAUACAUGCAAGUAGAACGCACAGUUUAUACCGUAGCUUGCUACACCAUAGACUGUGAGUUGCGAACGGGUGAGUAACGCGUAGGUAACCUGCCUGGUAGCGGGGGAUAACUAUUGGAAACGAUAGCUAAUACCGCAUAAUAUUAAUUAUUGCAUGAUAAUUAAUUGAAAGGUGCAAUUGCACCACUACCAGAUGGACCUGCGUUGUAUUAGCUAGUAGGUGAGGUAACGGCUCACCUAGGCGACGAUACAUAGCCGACCUGAGAGGGUGAUCGGCCACACUGGGACUGAGACACGGCCCAGACUCCUACGGGGGGCAGCAGUAGGGAAUCUUCGGCAAUGGACGAAAGUCUGACCGAGCAACGCCGCGUGAGUGAAGAAGGGUUUCGGAUCGUAAAGCUCUGUUGUAAGAGAAGAACGGGUGUGAGAGUGGAAAGUUCACACUGUGACGGUAUCUUACCAGAAAGGGACGGCUAACUACGUG